rnacentral:ncRNA from 1 species
GUAAAAAAUUUAUAAGAAUAUGAUGUUGGUUCAGAUUAAGCGCUAAAUAAGGACAUGACACAUGCGAAUCAUACGUUUAUUAUUGAUAAGAUAAUAAAUAUGUGGUGUAAACGUGAGUAAUUUUAUUAGGAAUUAAUGAACUAUAGAAUAAGCUAAAUACUUAAUAUAUUAUUAUAUAAAAAUAAUUUAUAUAAUAAAAAGGAUAUAUAUAUAAUAUAUAUUUAUCUAUAGUCAAGCCAAUAAUGGUUUAGGUAGUAGGUUUAUUAAGAGUUAAACCUAGCCAACGAUCCAUAAUCGAUAAUGAAAGUUAGAACGAUCACGUUGACUCUGAAAUAUAGUCAAUAUCUAUAAGAUACAGCAGUGAGGAAUAUUGGACAAUGAUCGAAAGAUUGAUCCAGUUACUUAUUAGGAUGAUAUAUAAAAAUAUUUUUAUUUUAUUUAUAAAUAUUAAAUAUUUAUAAUAAUAAUAAUAAUAUAUAUAUAUAAAUUGAUUAAAAAUAAAAUCCAUAAAUAAUUAAAAUAAUGAUAUUAAUUACCAUAUAUAUUUUUAUAUGGAUAUAUAUAUUAAUAAUAAAAUUAAUUUAUUAUUAUUAAUAAUAUAUUUUAAUAGUCCUGACUAAUAUUUGUGCCAGCAGUCGCGGUAACACAAAGAGGGCGAGCGUUAAUCAUAAUGGUUUAAAGGAUCCGUAGAAUGAAUUAUAUAUUAUAAUUUAGAGUUAAUAAAAUUAAUUAAAGAAUUAUAAUAGUAAAGAUGAAAUAAUAAUAAUAAUUAUAAGACUAAUAUAUGUGAAAAUAUUAAUUAAAUAUUAACUGACAUUGAGGGAUUAAAACUAGAGUAGCGAAACGGAUUCGAUACCCGUGUAGUUCUAGUAGUAAACUAUGAAUACAAUUAUUUAUAAUAUAUAUUAUAUAUAAAUAAUAAAUGAAAAUGAAAGUAUUCCACCUGAAGAGUACGUUAGCAAUAAUGAAACUCAAAACAAUAGACGGUUACAGACUUAAGCAGUGGAGCAUGUUAUUUAAUUCGAUAAUCCACGACUAACCUUACCAUAUUUUGAAUAUUAUAAUAAUUAUUAUAAUUAUUAUAUUACAGGCGUUACAUUGUUGUCUUUAGUUCGUGCUGCAAAGUUUUAGAUUAAGUUCAUAAACGAACAAAACUCCAUAUAUAUAAUUUUAAUUAUAUAUAAUUUUAUAUUAUUUAUUAAUAUAAAGAAAGGAAUUAAGACAAAUCAUAAUGAUCCUUAUAAUAUGGGUAAUAGACGUGCUAUAAUAAAAUGAUAAUAAAAUUAUAUAAAAUAUAUUUAAUUAUAUUUAAUUAAUAAUAUAAAACAUUUUAAUUUUUAAUAUAUUUUUUUAUUAUAUAUUAAUAUGAAUUAUAAUCUGAAAUUCGAUUAUAUGAAAAAAGAAUUGCUAGUAAUACGUAAAUUAGUAUGUUACGGUGAAUAUUCUAACUGUUUCGCACUAAUCACUCAUCACGCGUUGAAACAUAUUAUUAUCUUAUUAUUUAUAUAAUAUUUUUUAAUAAAUAUUAAUAAUUAUUAAUUUAUAUUUAUUUAUAUCAGAAAUAAUAUGAAUUAAUGCGAAGUUGAAAUACAGUUACCGUAGGGGAACCUGCGGUGGGCUUAUAAAUAUCUUAAAUAUUCUUACA